rnacentral:rRNA from 1 species
CCUACGGGAGGCAGCAGUGGGGAAUAUUGCACAAUGGGGGGAACCCUGAUGCAGCGACGCCGCGUGGGUGAAGGAGGACUUCGGUACGUAAAGCCCUAUCAGCAGGAAAGAAAAUGACGGUACCUGACUAAGAAGCCCCGGCUAACGACGUGCCAGCAGCCGCGGGAAGACGUAGGGGGCAAGCGUAAUCCGGAGUUACUGGGUGUAAAGGGAGCGUAGAGGGCUGUGCAAGUCCGGAGUGAAAGCCCGGGGCUCAACCCUGGGACUGCUCUGGAAACUGUAAAGCUGGAGUUCCGGAGGGGCAGGCUGCAUUCCUGGUGUAGCGGUGAAAUGCGUAGAUAUCAGGCGGAACACCGGCGGCGACGGCGGCCUGCUGGACCGUAACUGACGUUGAGGCUCGACAGCGUGUGUAGCAAACAGGAUUAGAUACCCCAGUAGUC